GAGGGUGUAGCUCAGUGGUAGAGCGAUGCUUACCAUGCACCAGGUCCUGGGUUCAAUCCCUAGUACCUCCA
rnacentral:tRNA from 1 species